CAGUCGCCGCGGUAAUACGUAGGGCGCAAGCGUUGUCCGGAAUUAUUGGGCGUAAAGAGCUCGUAAGCGGCUUGUUGCGUCGGUUGUGAAAGCCCGGGGCUUAACCCCGGGUCUGCAGUCGAUACGGGCAGGCUAGAGUGUGGUAGGGGAGAUCGGAAUUCCUGGUGUAGCGGUGAAAUGCGCAGAUAUCAGGAGGAACACCGGUGGCGAAGGCGGAUCUCUGGGCCAUUACUGACGCUGAGGAGCGAAAGCGUGGGGAGCGAACAGGACUAGAUACCCCCGUAGUCCCUGUCUCUUAUAC
rnacentral:rRNA from 1 species